UUCUAAAAUAAGAGAAUGAUAAAACUAAAAAACAUAUAUCAUGUACAUUACCAUGCAAACUUCCACCGAAAAUUGGUUUGAACGAGAUCUAGUAAGUAGUUUUUUUUUAAUACCUACAACUGAAACUAAUUUUUUUUUUUCUUUAAAUCCAUACGUGUGGUGUAUCUAUGGAUAGGUCUUCAAAAAUGAUAUUGAGGUUUCUAAUAUCAUUUUUUUCUAAACUGAAUAUUUUGCGCGAGAGACACUUCCAAAGUGGUAAAAUGUGUCCCCCCCCACUGUAACUUCUAAAAUAAGAGAAUAAUAAAACUAAAAAAAAAUAUGAUGUACAUUACAGCAUGCAAACUUCCACCGAAAAUUGGUUUGAACGAGAUCUAGUAAGUAGUUUUUUUUAAUACAACUAAAACUCAAAAAAAUUUUUUUUUCAUCAAACCCAUACGUGUGGGUUAUCUAUGGAUAGGUCUUCAAAAAUGACAUUGAGAUUUCUAAUAUUUUUUUU